AGAACGAACGCUGGCGGCAUGCCUAACACAUGCAAGUCGAACGAGACCUUCGGGUCUAGUGGCGCACGGGUGCGUAACGCGUGGGAAUCUGCCCUUCGGUUCGGAAUAACAGUUAGAAAUGACUGCUAAUACCGGAUAAUGACGUAAGUCCAAAGAUUUAUCGCCGAAGGAUGAGCCCGCGUAGGAUUAGCUUGUUGGUGGGGUAAUGGCCCACCAAGGCGACGAUCCUUAGCUGGUCUGAGAGGAUGAUCAGCCACACUGGGACUGAGACACGGCCCAGACUCCUACGGGAGGCAGCAGUGGGGAAUAUUGGACAAUGGGCGAAAGCCUGAUCCAGCAAUGCCGCGUGAGUGAUGAAGGCCUUAGGGUUGUAAAGCUCUUUUACCCGGGAUGAUAAUGACAGUACCGGGAGAAUAAGCUCCGGCUAACUCCGCGCCAGCAGCCGC
rnacentral:rRNA from 1 species